AUAAGAAAUCACAAAUCUAUUUCCAACGGUCGAAAACGAUUUUGCUGAGACCCGUGAGCGCAUACUCUGUACGGAGAGAGUUGGCAAUGCGCUGAAACACUUUCGAUUUCCCGCCGUCACGAAAAUGAAGCCCCACACUCCCCGAGGCUUCACCGCUGCCCCACCACCAGCAAACUUGCCUCCCGCGCGCCGCCGUCUCUGUCUUCUACCGGAGCUCCAUCCCCGCCGUCAAGCUUUGGUACGAAGAGCUGCUUCGCAACUCAAACGGCGUGAUGUGCUCAUCACGCCGUUCCUCGCCGCCGGUGCGGGGCUCCUGAGGCCGGCGGCGGUGAGAGCCGACGAGAAGGGGCCGGAGAGUCCCGCACCGCCGCCCGCGGCUGUUGCGCCGUCGCCGGCGGCGAGAGCGGAGGAGAAGACGGAGGAAGAUGCGAUAAGCUCGAGGGUUUAUGAUGCGACGGCGAUUGGGGAGCCGAUGGCGGUGGGGAAGGACAAGAGUAAGGUCUGGGAGAAGCUGAUGAACGCCCGAGUCGUGUAUUUAGGAGAAGCGGAGCAUGUGCCGGUUCGGGACGACAAGGAAUUGGAGCUCGAGAUUGUGAAGACUUUGAGGAAGAGAUGUUUGGAGGUCGAGCGGCCGUUGUCUUUGGCGUUGGAAGCGUUUCCUUGUAACCUGCAGGAACAGCUGAACCAAUACGUCGAUAAAAGAAUUGAUGGAGAAACCUUGAAGUCUUUCGCAUCACAUUGGCCACCUCAACGCUGGCAGGAAUAUGAACCACUUUUAAGUUACUGUCGUGACAAUGGAGUCAGGCUUACUGCUUGUGGCACUCCACUUGAGGUCUUGAGGACUGUUCAAGCUGAAGGUAUUCGUGGUCUUUCUAAAGCUGACCGCAAGAUUUAUGCUCCUCCAGCUGGUUCAGGCUUCAUCUCAGGCUUUACUUCUAUGUCGCGUAGACCGUCGGUGGAUAUCAACUUUCCUAACCAAUCUACCGCUUUUGGGCCUAGCUCAUAUCUAUCUGCUCAAGCAAGAGUAGUUGAGGAAUAUACAAUUUCCCAGAUCAUCUCACGAGCGAUGGCAGAUGGAGGCACCACCGGUAUGCUAGUAGUGGUUACUGGUGCGAGUCAUAUUACAUAUGGGUCAAGAGGGACUGGGCUGCCAGCAAGAAUUUCGAGGAAGACACCAAAGAAAAAUCAAGUUAUUAUCUUACUUGACCCUGAAAGGCAAUCCAUUAGAAGCGAAGGAGAAGUUCCCAUUGCUGAUUUCUUGUGGUAUUCUGCAGCCAGACCCUGCAGCAGAAAUUGCUUUGAUCGUGCUGAAAUUGCACGAGUGAUGAAUGGAGCUGGAAGGAGGCGAGAUGCUCUACCCCAGGACCUUCAGAAAGGACUUGAUCUUGGUGUGGUAUCUCCUGAAGUUCUGCAGAAUUUUUUUGAUCUGGAGCAAUAUCCUUUUAUUUCAGAACUCACUCAUAGAUUCCAGGGAUUCAGGGAGAGAUUAUUGGCUGAUCCCAAGUUCUUACAUAGACUAGCUAUAGAAGAAGCUAUAUCAAUUACGACUACUCUCUUAGCUCAGUAUGAAAGGCGUAAAGAAAAUUUCUUUGAAGAGAUUGACUAUGUUAUUACAGACACGGUCAGGGGAUCAGUUGUUGAUUUUUUCACUGUGUGGCUGCCUGCUCCGACGUUGUCUUUCAUUUCAAUUGCUGAUAAGAUGGAUACAACUGACAGCAUAGAAGCAUUAAAGGGUCUACUUGGUUCUAUACCGGAUAAUGCAUUUCAAAAGAAUGUUGCUGGGAAGGACUGGAAUGUGAGUCAUAGAGUUGUAUCAGUGCUUUUUGGAGGUUUAAAACUUGCCAGUGUUGGAUUCAUUUCAAGUAUUGGGGCUGUGGCUGCCUCAAAUUUUCUGUAUACAGUUCGCAAAUUACUGAAUCCAGCACUUGCUACUGCUCAACAGACUAAAAGAUCACCAAUGCUUAAAACAGCAGUGGUAUACAGUUGCUUUUUGGGAAUGUCAGCAAAUCUUCGAUACCAGGUUAUUGCUGGAGUAGUGGAGCAUAGAAUUUCUGACCUAUUUGCCUCACAAACAUUACUUGUGAAUAUGCUGUCUUUUGUUGUUCGGACUGUCAACUCGUAUUGGGGAACCCAGCCUCUGAAAUGUGCAGCAAUGGGUGGAUUUAGCGCGGUAUACAGGACUGCAAGCUAGGAAGAGCAAAACAUCCUUGUACCAAGCUCCAGAUCCUCCAAAUCAUGCUGUGCUGGAAUGCACAACUUCAGACAAAGCAACUAUUGAUGAAAUCAAGAAUCAGUGAGGUGAUAAUUUCAAUGCAUCUCGUCAUGGAAGUAUGUAAGCUGCAGGGAUGCGGUUUCAAGCUUUGAUAAAGGUGGUGGUGAGGGUCCUUUGAUGAAGCAAAGCGGAUGCAGUGGUGGUCUAAUAACGAAUCAGAUCGUUUGGAUUGACUUUCGAUCCAUGUGUGGUCUUACCCUACAAAAAUAAAAGUUGUUAUCGUGGAUUGACUUUCCAUCCACGCGUGAUCUUGCCCUACGGAAGUAAAAGUUGUCAACGAAGAUAUUUGUCGCGAAGUUGUUCGGUUUAGGUUUGCGAUUUUCUUCUAUUUCGUAGAUUGGCAAAGGUAGUUUGCAUACACUUUGGUUACUUUAGGUUUGUGAGAUUCUUGUAUUCGUAUUUGGGAAGUUAGACCUUCUAAUUGAUUAUUGAAUCUUAUGUAAAACGAUAAUCUUUCUGGUUAAUGUAAUGAUGAUAUAUAUUCUUCUUA